CUCCUCCAGAGGGGGACAAAUAAGGCCAUCACUCGCCGCUGCCUCGCCCUGCCAACACCUCCAACCUGGAGGAGCCUGGGCCUGAUAUGCCCCAGCCCUGAUAUGCCCGGGGGGGCGGCAGGAGGGCGCGCGAGCUCUGCGUCUGCCGCCUUGAGCUCGGGUCGCGCCUCGGGANCGUCGGAUUCCGACAUGCCGCGCCGAAGGGACGCGGGGCGCUCGCUCAUUUUCUCCUUCUCGCCCGCCUGGACUGCCCUGUUUUUAAUCCCCCGUUAUUUCGUUCGGACGAAGAAGACACGAUGGGGGAUUAAACUCUUUCACGAUUUAAUGAUUUUUAACCCCGCAGAUGCACGUGCCAUUCACUCCAAUGGGGCUUCUGGCGGNUUCGACGCGCCGCCCCGUGCGCGGGGCUUUGGUGGAGAAAGGGCGCCCUCUGCAGGCAACACGCCGCCUCGCUCGCUUGUUCGCCGGCGGACCCGGACGCAGCAGGAGCCGCCGCCGCCGCCUAGCGCUUCGGAGCAUCUCGCCCAAGGGAGAGUGGCCUCCGCGACCCGCGUGUCGUGCUAGGGGGUUGCUAUUAUGGUAUAUGAGAAGUGACAUUUCGUUCAUAAUUGCGGCCUUGGCACUUAUGGAUACCUACGCCAUUUACGGCUUCAUGCAGCGACUACGCAUUCAAUGCUGAAAUGUGUCGCAAUCAUCGAGGAAAACAAAUCAAAGAAAAGGGCAAGAGCCGACUGCAUGGCGAAUUCCACCACCCCUCUCAGCCAAACCCAGGACUGAACCGCAGGCUCAGCACCGUGGCCUUAAGCGGGGACUGGGCCCAGAGAAGAACUCCCAGCCAACAUGCAGCAGCGUCCCAGUUCCCGGCUGUAAGUCUCCAGCACAGGUGUGCAACGUGUGUCGCUCAUGCGCACGCAGCCUUCCUGCCGCUCCUCCUGUUUACAUUCCGCUGACGUCUUUGGCGGCUUCUUCCCACCUUGCUGCUUUCUCCAGCCAGGGACGGAGAGGGGAGUGUGGCCUUGGCUGGGAAGUCCACGCUUGGCAGGAGACGCCGUGGCUCCCGCCAGCCCUACGCAGGCAGCUUGCGGGCUUGUUGCGCAGGCUCCAGAGGCCCUUCGGCACCUUUCUUGAGACUCCAGCACGGGGGCCCAAUUCACACGCAGGCGCACGGGGCCUCCUGAGAAUCCGGCCAGGGCCGGGUAGCGCCCACUCUGAGGCGCCCCCAGUGAUCCCCUUUUGGCCUCCUGCAGGCCCAACUGUUUCCCCAAAAGUGGGAAAUCUAGCUCUCAGGGUGACCAUUCCUACCGGCUCCAUCAGUGNGCCGCUUUUUCUGAGCAGGGAAAACAGACAGGAAGGAGGUUCACCNCAUUUCCCUGAGCUCAGGAAGACAGGCGUCAGGAAAAGCAGCAUCCAGGGAGACGGAACAUGGUGGCAGCAGCAACAGGAUGGUCUGCGAACCCAACUGGAUGCUUCCCCAGGCUCCCUGACCACCAUUGGCCACUCCCAGCCUGGCCACUUGCUAGCUGGCUCCGGGGGCGACUUCUGGCCUCGGCGGCGGGGGAAGGUUUCUCUCACCCCCCCGCAGCAUUAUCUCUCUGCAAAACCUGAGCCCCCUCCCCUGCGCAGCCUGGAGCCUUGGCCUUUCCCCGACCGCCUUCCUCCUGCCGACAUGCGUCCCACCUGAGAGUAGGGAGGGGCGCGGGAGACACGGGACGGCUCCUUCCCUGGGGAAACCGCCCGGCUCCNUCCCCAACAGGCACCCAGAGUGAAUGCCGCCAGCUGCUCAGCACGUAAGAAGCACGCCUCCUGCACAGAAGGCAUAAAAUCAGACCCAUCUUGCCAAGUGAAAACAUGAUGAAGCAAACUCCAAAUCCUUACACUAUCUUUCAAGGUAAACUAAAUUAUUGAUAAGCAAAGCCUGCACAAGGAAGGGUUGCUAUCAAUAUUUUAAUACAUCUGCUGCUAAUUUCAUUCUUCCUGCUGCUGUUUGUAAGCUCUGCAAGUACUUUGGAUGCACUGUGUGGAGUCAGCUCAAGUUGCUGCUCCUUUUGUCCUUUUCCUCAUGCAGAGCUCAGCAGAGCCACAGAAGGUGGGGGGCACCAAGGGUCAAGCCCAUUUCCCUGGGCAGAGCUGGACAGGUCCAACAGUUUGAGGAAAGGACCUUGCAGGGAUGCAAGGGGGGAGAUUGCUUUUGAUCAGCCCUCCCAGUGGUGCAAACUCAGGUCUGUGCAGGGCCGUUGCACAGACUGCUGCUCCCUUGCUCCCGGUACAUCACUUAGGCGAUGGAAUUUUGUGGGAAAAGUAACUGAACAUCAAUGUGAAAUAAACCCACAGGUGCUAAAAUGAAAGAAGCUCCA
rnacentral:lncRNA from 1 species